UUGAAAGGGAAACGAUUGAAGUCAGUCAUGUUGGUAGGGAUUCAACUUGAUGGUAUGCGGGUUUACUCGUGUUCUUUUGAGUGCACUUCCUUACUUGCUAGUUAGCAUCAAUUUUGGUUAUCAUAUAAAAAUUGAGGGAAGGUGGCUUUUCUUCGGAAAAGUGUUAUAGACCUUGAUUAUUGUGGUGACCGGGAUUGAGGAUUGCAGCGGAUACCCUUUUGGGCUAGUCACCUUGCUUCUGAUGGUUACCCCGUCUUCGAUAGCUUGCUAACGUUGAUGGGAUUUAAUUAUCUAGAUGUUGGAGUGAUCAUAAAUUCGUUAAGGAUGUUGACGUA
rnacentral:rRNA from 1 species